UAUCACUGAUUUUAUUUGCAGUAUCAAACAUUCCAUUUCAUGCCCCAUUAACAGUAGGAGCCUGAGCUUUUUGACGCAGCUAAACAUUUUACUAACUACCUGGACUAAGUAACCAAUUAACUUUUGGAGACAAUACGGCCAAUUAAGCGCGAAAAGUCACCUCUGCACUUCCAGAUUCUGGCCAGGACCAGAGGCAUAAAUACUAUGGGGAAACUGAAAACCAGAAAGCUUCAACAAUUUGCCCAAGGUCAGAGAGAAAAUCUGAAAUAAAUCAAGGAGGAAUGGAACUCUGAUUUUUCUGUCAUGUAGACUCAUCCUAGAACUCUUCACAUGAGCAUGUCAGUUCACUUAAGUGUUCCUACUCAUGAAUAAGAGGUUGUAAUCAUGUGGAGAAUCUUUUGGGUGUGAAUUCCAGCUAAAUAGAAACUCUGUGUUGGUGGUGGCCUGGCCUCACUCAAAGUACCCUUUGCGUCUGACUCUGCCCAUUCCAGCAAGGAGACAACUUGGGGGAAAAUGUGGUCAAAAUAAAUAAAGCACCAGAAUGGAAAAGGGAACUUGACCGGAGAUAAACGAAUCCUCUCCCUAGAUGUGUUUUUGUUUUAUCACAAUGACCUUUCAGAGAAAAGAUGAAGCCAGCCUCAGGUAAAAAGAAACAACCACAUUUCAUCUACAGUUAGCCUUUGUGACCUCUGAACUCUGCUUUUCUAUCUGAACCUAUUUCCAUACACCAUUUCUCCUCUCCACAGAUAAGGAACAUCCAAGUGUCAGCCAGGAACUUAGAGCUUUAAUACAAAGGCCAGUAAACAAACACGGCCACCGCUUAAUUGGUGAAAUUAUCCUCCUUGUUUUUUUUCUAAUAUCUUCUGUUCUGCAUGACACAGGAGCCUGAUAAACUGCAUGACGGAGAUCAAACCUCACCCCACAUGGCACAUUUAGCAAUAUAGAUUUAAAUAUAUAUGUGUGUUGUAGUAUAUCCCAUUAUCGUAUCAUCACUUUUUCAGCUAUCUCUAACACAAGAGUCAAGGGGUUUGGGAGCACAUACAAAAAAAGAGAGAUUUCUAAGAGAGCAGGAGAUUGGGUUAGGGUCAGACGAAAGGGUAAUUAUUGUUAAAUGUCAGGUUAACUCUGAAGGCCUCAGCUCAUCCAACUGAGAGCAGAUUAGCCCAGAUGGAGACAUUUUCAACACGGUUCUGUCUGGCCAAUCAGAGACAGCUGGGAUUAGCCAAAUACCUUCUCUCAUCUGCUUGCUCUCAGAAAGGUCAGUUUCUGCUCAUUGCCUCCCUUUUAAGAUUUUUUUUCCUUUUUUUUUUUUUUUUGUGUGGCGGCCGUAUGCAGGAAAUCAGGACCCUUUUAUCAGCAAAUUAAAUAUUCAACAUCUAAAAAUCACUUUUUCUGAGAGUCAACUUCAUUCACUUUCAAGAGCACUUUUAUCUUUUUUUUUUAAGAGCUGCGGAGAGAGAAAGAGGGAGAGGUACCAAAUCUUCAGCUGCUGUAAAUCAGUGUAGUUCCAUAAACUUCAAUGGAGCUACAUCAAUUUACAGCAGCUGAGGAUCUGGCCUCAUAGUAUAUGAUUUGGAUUUUUUUCUUCCUCAUUUUUAUUUUGCCUGUCUUUCUAAAACAACCCAGCCAAUCAAAAACCCUAUGGUAAUUUUGUUCUCUACAUUCAUCUGUUUAAGGGCUACAGUUUAUGUUUUCUAUCUAAAGGAGUAAGGGAAAAAAAGAACACUAGGCACCACCAAACCCUGAAACUAACCCUGGAGUGCUUUAAAAACUAAUCGGUUUUUAUAUACAGCUCUUCUCCCAGACAGUUUAAAUAAGUACAAACAUAAAACUCAGUGAUAAAAUGAACAGGAACUGCAAACAAAAAUCACAUUCGCAAUGCAUUCCCCGAGAUCUGUUGUUGGAUACCUAGA